CUUUUAUUGGACGUUAAUCAUCAUGUGUUGUGCGUUUAUUAGAUGUUAAUUUCAUAUACCUAAUUAAUGUCAACCUCCAAUAAAAUCACGACAUCUGACAGUCAAUGUCC
rfam:Glycine soja cultivar W05 scaffold198_75, whole genome shotgun sequence.